AGGAGCACCCGCUGCUGCACGGAGCUGUGGGGCCCGCGGGAGGGAGGCCCCUCUUCACCCACACCGGCACCAGGCUGACCCAGCUGGCCGCGGACACGGGCGCGGGGCCCCGCGGGAACCACACCGUGCUGUUCCUGGGCGCCGAGGACGGGCGGCUGCUCAAGGUCCUGGCAGCUGCACUGAGCCCCGAGGCCACUCAGCCCCCCGGGGGGACCCCGGCACCGAGGGACCCCCGAGAGCCGGGGGACAGCAGGGACAGCAGGGACAGGACGCUGCUGCUGGAGGAGAUCAGCCUCUACGACCCCGGGCGGUGCCACAGCCCGCGGGGGUCUGGGGUCCCCAGCCGGGUGCUGGGGCUGGAGCUGCACCUGCCGGGCCGGGAGCUGCUCGUGGCCUUCGCCGGGUGCCUCCUGCGGCUGCCCCUGAGCCGCUGCAGUCGCCACGGCUCCUGCCGAGGGAGCUGCCUGGCUGCCCGAGACCCCUAUUGUGUCUGGCUGCCCUCCAGGGGCUGCGUCCCCUUCUCCGAGGACCUUCCGUGAGUUGUCCCUCCCAUCCCCGACCUCCUGGGGCGUGUGGGGACCCGCUGGGGACAGAGGGUGAUGUCCCCUCUGUGUCCCAGGAGUGGCUUCCAGCAGGACAUGGAGGGGUCCCUCGGGAUCAGCGGGACCUGCCAAGGUGAACUGGGGGAUCACGGGGGACACUGGGAAUGUUUGGGGGUUUCUGGGGGGAUGCAGGUGGCACCACGGUGGCACUGGGGUGGCUCUGGCACGCGUGGCUGAUGCCAGAGGAUGGGGAGGAUGUGGAGGGGACACGGGUGGCUCCAAGGGACACAGGGGGGCCUGGCCUGAGCCUGCUGUGCUCUCACAGGGGCUGCAAGGGACGGUGACGAGGAUGGAGACCUGGCGCACGG
ensembl:lncRNA